AUAGUAGUGUGAAAAUGAACAUUUAUUACGCAUUCGAAUUUUUAAUAAAAUUUUCAACUAUUUCCAGUUGUCUUUAGUAUGUAUAUAUCAUGAUAUGAAGAAUGGUAAAACAUCUCUCUUGUCACGGUGGUCGCAAAUAUUUUUAACAAGAAACAGCUCGAAAGUCAUGAUUCGCGAGGACUGUGCUCACCGAAUCGUAUACGAGAAUCUGGAUGUUUUGUUUGCAAUAGCAAAGUUGAAGGAUGCUUAAUAAAUAGACCGAGCUACUUUCUAACCUGUUUAUUUCGAUAUUUAUACACUUGCAGAGCGUGGAAUAUCUCAUUAUGAUAAUAACAUAUGAUAACAUAAAUUAUUAUUCGAUUUAAUUUUAUCACAUGAAUACUUCUCGACUAGAGUUUCGUAUUCAACACUUUCUUCCAGAAAAAAAAAUAGAGAGGAAAUGCAGAUACAGUAAAAGAUUGGAUGCUUACAAUUACGGAAUGUUUACGCGAUUCAAAAAGAAUUUGACCAAGGAUCAAAUAUAAAUAUCACUGAUACAUCUGUAAAAACUACACAAUAAUAUAGAGUAAAUGUAAUAGUAAUACAACAGAUUUUAUUUUAAAGAAAUUCUAUAUGUUUUAUAUUUAUAUAAAUGACAUAAACAGAAAUGUAUUUUAAAACUAUAUUGUUUAUUGAUGAGGAUAUAAUUCAUAAUAUAUGCAAUCAAAGACUUCACAAAUUUUAAAUUUGUUCAUUACGUCUUAAAAGAUGAAGAUUAUUAAAAGAAAAUUUUAAUAAAUUUGGCAUUAAAGUAAAACUAGUGCUAAAUAAAAAAUUAAUUAUGUGAGUUAUUAUACAAUAUUAAUUACUGUAUGCAUUAUAAAAACUGUAAAAAUAGUCGUUCAUUGAAAGUUCAUAGAAUACAAAAGCUUUCAAGAAGAAAAAAAUAUUUUUGAAGUAAUAUAAAAAUAUAUGUUAAAUAAAAAGAGAGAGAAUAUAAAUAUGUAUCUCAAAUAUUAUAAAUUUGAAAUACUUCUCAUUUGUUCAUAAAAUUGAGAAUUUAUUGCAAGAGAUUUCUCGGUAGAACUACAAAAUACUCUAUAUAAUUAUUUUAUUUUAUUAGAAAAAUAACAAACGAUAUAUAGAAUAAUUUUUAUUAAUAUUAUAUAUUUAUUGAUUUUAAAAAUAAUUGUUUUAUUUUGAACUAACUUUGUGAAUAUUAUGAUAUAAUUAUGCCGAUUCUUAUUUUGAUAUAGAAAUAUCUUUUUUUUCGAUUAAAUGAGACAUUAUACUAUGGAUAAUAAUAUCGAUUAGGUAGAAAAUAGACGAGAGAUCGAAAUAUCCCUGGAUGUACUUUAAUUUUAUUAUAUGAUCUCGCAUUAAACACAGGAAUUGGUUAAUAUUUAAAUAUGGAUUUAUUCCAAAUUUUGUUGUUACUUCUUGAAGAUACAAUGAUGUUACUGAAUGAAGAGUUUGAUUUAAAUUUAUCAUGAAUAUUGUUCCCUGCAUCUUAUGAAGUUAGUUUUAUUUUGAUCGAUUCUUCAAAGAUAUGAUAAGAAGAAUCGAGAAAAACAGUAAUAUUGUUAUCACUAGUUUUUUCUUCCUUUUCUUCUACAUAUAUGAUUUUUUCAGUAUAGCUUUUUCUUGCAUUAUAAUUAUUCUUAUAAUAAUUCUAUAAUUAAUUAGGAAUUAUUGAAUUUCCUUCUUCUUUAAAAAAUAAAUUUUUUUGAAGAUUAUCAGUUUGAUUUGUCGAGCUUGGAAAACUGUGAUUCGUAAAUAAAGAUAUGAUAGCAUGAAGAGACUUUUGGUUAUCUCCUUCAUCAUAAUAAGAUAAUAAGAUUGUCUCAAAAAUGAAAAUCUUCGCAGCAAGUCGUUAUCGCCUGAUAAUGCAUAGCUCUUGUUCAAGUUUGAUCUGCGAGGCGCGCAUGCUGCUGACCCUUCAAAUUUAUGAUUUAUGGCCCUUACUAUAUACAUAUAAAUAAUUAUUUUUUCCCAUUUAUUAUUCUUAUUAAGUAACUAUGAUUAUUUCUAGGAUUGACAUAAAAAAUGUAUUUACCAAAUUUAAAUUAUUUAUGUAUAAUUAGCAAAUUAUCAUAAAUUCUCUUAGUCCAUAAUACUUUCCUAUUUUUCAGAAUGUUUUCAUUUAUUUACAAGGUUGACAAAUAUACGUUUGACUUUGAUUGCAGUCUAGUCAAGCAUUAUAUAAUGGGAGUGUAAUCUGUAUGAUCAAAGUUCAAGCAAUUUGCAUCAUUAUUGUGACGUUGACCAGCUGAGCAUCAUGGAACAAAGCUUGCAUCCAUUUCAGAAAUUAGCUCGCCAGUACUUUCCCAAUUUCAUUUCCAGAAUGACGUAUCAUUGAACAUCGACAAUUUACGUUUGCCAUCAAUCUAGAUAUGCCGCAGUUCUGCAAUUAUCAAGCAUAUGAAAUAAGUAAUUAAACAUAAUCUGAAAUAAGUAAUUAAACAUAAUCUGAAAUUCGUAAUUUAUGAUUAAAUUUACAGAUACAGAUAAUUUUUAUGAUAUAUUAUUCUGUGAAAAAUCAAGAUAUCAUUUCUUUCAUUUAAUGCAUACAUAACAUUCUACUUAAUUUUAUAUGAGAAACUUAAGAAAUAUAUUUAACAAUAUUCAAAAAUAUAAUUAUUAAAAUACAGAUUGUAAACGUCUGUAAUAAUUUGUUCCUGUUCUUUAGAGAUGCUAUCAAUUUUUAAAUAUUUGUAAUAUAUAAAUAAAAUAAUACAUAUAGAAUUAUCUGAAUUUAGAAUAUAAUAAUUGUUAUAAAUAUAAAAUUAUACUAAGGUAAAUUUAAUAUUGAUUGAACAUUUUUAUCUCUAUAUACUUCUCUUGAAUUUAUUAUAAAAUCGGAAAGUAGAAGCCUGACUUACCGUAUGCCAAUCCAUUCACCAUUUCUACCAUUCCUGCGCUAUCCGGUGCUGUUGUCGAUGAUUUUAAUAAUGCUAUGAAUUCAAAUAGUAGAGUAAUCUAUAUAUAAGAAAUACAUAACAAUUUGGUGACUUUAAUGCGUGUUGAACGAUGUCUUGAUUACAAUGAUUCUGUAUUUAUAUAUAUAUACAAUAAAUAAUAUAAUAAAUAAU